CGACCGCACUCCUCUCCCCGGACGAGGGAACCGCUGUCUGUCCCCCACCUGCUUCUGCGGGGCAGCUCAGGAGUUGCCUGCCACUCCGCCGCUACCCAGUCCCCGGGUGUAGGCCAUUUCGGGCCCCCUGCCGGAUUCCUUUCCACUUACCCCAAGGGAGAAGACAGAAGGGACUUCGCCUACUUGCAACGACGUAAAAUAAAAACCAACCCACGCCAGUCGGAAGGGACGAAAUACCCUUUUGCGUGAAGAUGUAUGCUAGGAACGAGUGGAAAGGGUUCUGGUGGUGGAUUUGGUGCAAAAAGGAUUUGGAGCAUGAUCUGAAGCAUAUCGUGGCCUGAAGAGGAUGUCAGUUAAUAUACAAGGACACUGAAGUUUUUGCUUUUGAAGUACCAAAGCUGGAAGAAACUUAAGAAAAAAAAAAAAACCCACAAAACUGGUGUCCAUUCCCCAGCCUUCACGUACAGCCUCAUCCUGAUUCAAUGUAACUCUCUUUUAUUGAAGGCCUCUACAAGACAAAAUUUCAAAGCCUUCCUUAUCAAUCUCUUCCUAUGUUCAAAUCCGUUUCAAAAGAAGUUUCCUCAUAUCUAAAUAAAAUCUAAUUUCGCUGUUA